GACGAACGCUGGCGGCGUGCUUAACACAUGCAAGUCGAACGGGAUCCGGGCUUUCGGGUUUGGUGAGAGUGGCGAACGGGUGAGUAACACGUGAGUAACCUGCCCCCUUCUUUGGGAUAACGUCGGGAAAUCGGCGCUAAUACUGGAUAUUCUUGCUGCAUCGCAUGGUGUGGUUUGGAAAGGGUUUCUGGUGGGGGAUGGGCUCGCGGCCUAUCAGCUUGUUGGUGGGGUGAUGGCCUACCAAGGCUUUGACGGGUAGCCGGCCUGAGAGGGUGUCCGGCCACACUGGGACUGAGACACGGCCCAGACUCCUACGGGAGGCAGCAGUGGGGAAUAUUGCACAAUGGGCGCAAGCCUGAUGCAGCGACGCCGCGUGGGGGAUGACGGCCUUCGGGUUGUAAACCUCUUUCAGUAUGGAACAAGGAUCCUUCUUUUGGGGGGUUUGAGGGUACGUGCAGAAGAAGCGCCGGCUAACUACGUG
rnacentral:rRNA from 1 species